rnacentral:rRNA from 1 species
GACGAACGCUGGCGGCGUGCUUAACACAUGCAAGUCGAACGGUAAGGCCCUUCGGGGUACACGAGUGGCGAACGGGUGAGUAACACGUGGGUGAUCUGCCCUGCACUUCGGGAUAAGCCUGGGAAACUGGGUCUAAUACCGGAUAGGACCACUGCCUGCAUGGGUGGUGGUGGAAAGCUUCUGCGGUGUGGGAUGGGCCCCCGGCCUAUCAGCUUGUUGGGGGGGUGAUGGCCUACCAAGGCGACGAAGGGUAGCCGGCCUGAGAGGGUGACCGGCCACACUGGGACUGCGCUACGGCCCAGACUCCUACGGGAGGCAGCAGUGGGGAAUGUUGCACAAUGGGCGCGAGCCUGAGGCAGCGUCGCCGCGUGAGGGAUGACGGCCUUCGGGUUGUAAACCUCUUUCAGCACCGACGAAGCGCAAGUGACGGUAGGUGCAGAAGAAGGACCGGCCAACUACGUGCCAGCCGCCGCAGUAA